rnacentral:SRP_RNA from 1 species
GCCUGGCGCCCUGGCUCAGGCCUGUAGUCUCAGCUAGUCAGGAGGCUGAGGCGGGAGGGUGGCUUAAGCCCGGGAAUUCUGGGCUGUAGUGUGCUAUGCCAGUUGGGUGUCUGCACUAAGUUCAGCGUCAAUAUGGUGACCUCCUGGGAACAGAGGACCACCAGGUUGCCUAAGGGAGGGGUGAACUGGCCCAGGUCAGAAAUGGAGCAGGUCAGAACUCCUGUGCUGAUCAGUAGCAGGAUCCAGACCGAGAAUAGCCACUGCACUCCAGCUUGGGCAACAGACCCUGUCUCU